rnacentral:misc_RNA from 1 species
UCUUCUUCUUCUUCUUCUUCUACUCAUGUGGGUAAUAAAGAAGAUGACAUUGUAAGGAAGAGCUCGGCAAAGCGUGGUGAUUUUAUCAUCCCACCUGAAUCAUCUAGAUAUCUUUUGAGCGAAAAGGAUUUUCUUGAUGGGUUAUCGGAUUAUGAUCCAGUUUUGGCAUUGGUUCCUACUGAACCCAAUAUGCCAUCAUCAGCUCAAGCUAAUUCCAAGCAACAAGAGUCUAUUUCAAAACCAUCUUCAAAUUCCAACUCUGAGAGGCCAUCAAACCAGGUUGAUUUUUUUUCCUCUUCUAUAAGAGAUCUCCCAAUGGUUCAAGAUGAAGAUGUUAGCUAAUAAAGUUCUUUUUAGAUGAUGAAUAGAUUAAAUUUUAUAUCAAAGAAAAAAUGAUAUGAAUUGGUUUGGCCCUGCAGGUUGUGGUUUUGAGAGUGUCACUGCACUGCAGAGGCUGUGAAGGAAAAGUGAGGAAACAUCUAUCUAGAAUGGAAGGUGUGAGAUCGUACAGCAUAGAUUUUGCAGCAAAGAAGGUGACAAUUGUAGGAGAUGUGACACCAUUAGGUGUGCUUGCGAGUGUAUCAAAGGUGAAGAAUGCCCAAUUUUGGACAUCUGCUGCAAACCCAGCUGCACCACUCUCCCAACUCAAGAAAUAAUUACUAAGAAAAAUUAUUUUUUUUUUUUUAUUAUGGCAGAACAGUUAAGUUUCAAUUUGGCGCUUGAGUUAGUGUAAAUGCAGUAUUUUAAAUAUGUAACUAGGAAGAAUAGCUGGAAGAGAAUCUUUGGUUAUUAGAAGUUGGUAUUCAAUGAAAGAAAGUCAAUUGGGCAGGGACCAUUUGGCCUGUCCCUGCCAGUUGCUAGUUAUGCUGUGGGUUUUUGUUUAAUUGUGGCAAAAGAAAAA